UUGUCUUGUGUUCAAAUGGGAAGCCACCUAUGUCCUCGCCGCAUUGUCUCGCCCUCGUGGACGGUGCUCCUACACCUGGUGGAUGUGUGACGCACGCCCGUGACGGCCAAACACUGACACGACAGUGGCUCACUCCGGUGGUUUCCUAGACGGCAGUGGAUGGCUCCCCCGCAACCGCGGUGGCAGUCGUGCAUGACAUCUACUUCAAAAAUCCCAUGGUGAGCUUCAUCCCCUCCCUUCUUCUUCGUUUGCCUCCCUCCUCUCCGUUCAAAAGCCUGUGUCCAUCGUGCAACAAUAGUAGCAUGCUCCGAUUCAUGGCCAUCGAGCCAUUUGUUAUAUCAAUUGAAAAUCUCUAGCUAUGUCCUUUCUAGAUUCUAUCAACCCAAUAACUGGAUUUUGGUCAGUCAACUCCUGAUUGGUCUUUAUCUAAAUGGUUGAAGAGCAUGUACACAUGUGCUCUUUCAUUCUGAAUUUGUUUCCUUUGACAUCCAUUACAUGCUUAGUAUUUAUGACUCUUGAGGUAAUUGAAAACCUUAAUUCUUAGUGCCCACUAUACGUUAGUGAUUAGUCGUGCCAUGCUAUUUCAAUUAUAACACGACUAAAAAUAUUUAUUGAUGUCUUUUCUGGUUUUUGACAUAUAAAUUACUCAAUCUUUGUGAGAUGAUUGAUGAUUUGUUCUUUAUCUAGAAUGGGUGGAGAGCCUGUUGACACGUGCUAUUUUUAAAAAUUGUAUUUGUUUGCAUUCACGGGCAGAAACUGUUACCAGAAUCGACAUCAGAACAUUCAUGCUUUUUGUAUUAGCUUGAUUUUUAAAGAAACAUUGAUUAGUUUAUUUUUGCCCGCAUUCAUGGUUCUAAUAUUAGCUUGAUUUUAAACCAACAUUAAUUAGUGUGAUGUUUAAUGUUUGCAAGUGCUUGACAAGUUUAUUUGAUUGAUAAAAAUUCCCUUUAGUAUGAUGCAUGAUGCUCUUGAGUCUCUGAAUCUAUUUGAUAUGAUGAAUCUAAGUCAAAGCUUAUUUCUUGUUUGGUUAAUUGCAGUGGACACAUGAAGAAGGGAUGGAGCUUCAGCGAUGACUCGUCACACGGAGCUACAGGCAACCUGAUGUGUUGCUUUCAUCCCCUCGACACAACGAGUAGUUCUGCUUCGUCUCCUUUCCAGUAGUAUAGCUGCAACUUAGCAUGUGUGUAGAGGCUAAUGGUCGCAAGGGCUCCUAGAGUGUACAUGACUUGAAGAUGCCCGGCUAGAUGUGAUACUUUGUGAUCUCAUAUACGUACUCUAUGAUAUAUAUGGAUCUUUGCUAUGUAUGAUUUUGUUUCCAUGGAUCAUUGUUAUUAUGUUUGUGAUAUAUGUUGUGUAUUCAACUCAUGAGAUAAGGUUUU
rnacentral:lncRNA from 1 species